CAAAGGCUGCGAUUGGGUAUUUCUAGAUUGGAGGAGAGUAAAGCUAUAGAAUGGUGCGAGUUUCAAUUUGGGUGUUAGAAGAAGAAGAAGGAGAUGAACGAAGGAGAAUGGGAGUUUGAUUUUGCUGCUGUUGAAACUGAACAGUGGGAAGGCAAAGGGAGGAAGAUUUCAGAAGUGAAGGGUUUCCAUUCGGUCUGUUCAGUAUCUAUGGUUGUUUUCCAAUUGACCUAUUUUGUGGUUAGAGGACCUAUUUUGUACCAGGUGAAAGUCUUACCAAAAGAAGUUACCAACUAUAUGUUGAUUUUGUUAAACUCUACCUUUAUCGAGAGUGUAAUCAUACUCUGAAACUUCUAAAUGUGUGUUGGAUUAUAUAUAUGUUUGGGUGUUUAAACUUGUAUAUUGUAUAUAUGCAGAGAUUGCAAGCAUGCUGAUAUCACUGUAGGAAAAAUUUAGAAAGUAAAGUUCCAGAUAUUGCAAAAUCUGGAUUUACAUCGGCAUGGUUGCCGCCAUCAACUCAUUCCUUUGCCCCGGAAGGUUAUCUCCCUCAGAACAUAUAUUCCCUCAAUUCUAAAUAUGGAUCUGAGCACCAAUUAAAAGGUUUACUACAAAAAAUUGGUUUACCUCCC